rnacentral:rRNA from 1 species
AGCAGCCGCGGUAAUUCCAGCUCCAAUAGCGUAUAUUAAAGUUGCUGCAGUUAAAAAGCUCGUAGUUGAAUUUCGGGAUCAAUAUGUUGGUCGUGCCUCGGUACGUACUAGCUUAUUGGUUUCUCCCCUCUGACGAACCAUGAUGUCAUUUAUUUGGUGUUAUGGGAAAUCAGGACUGUUACUUUGAAAAAUUAGAGUGUUUAAAGCAGGCUCACGCUUGAAUACAUUAGCAUGGAAUAAUGAAAUAGGACGUUUGAUUCUAUUUUGUUGGUUUCUAGGAUCGACGUAAUGAUUAAUAGGGAUAGUUGGGGGCAUUAGUAUUCAAUUGUCAGAGGUGAAAUUCUUGGAUUUAUUGAAGACUAACUACUGCGAAAGCAUUUGCCAAGGAUGUUUUCAUUAAUCAAGAACGAAAGUUAGGGGAUCGAAGACGAUCCGAUACCGUCGUAGUCUUAACCAUAAACUAUGCCGACUAGGGAUCGGAUGAUGUUAAUUUUUAAUGACUCAUUCGGCGCCUUACGGG